GGGACUUCCCUGCAGUGACUGAGGAGCACCACACAAUGCCAGCUCAGAAGGACUGGGAGAAGGGAGGCAUUCACACAUUGAUAUGGGUGCUGCCUUCAAACGGACCCUGGUGCCAGAGCCGUGCACGUGGACAGCUCUGCUGAGAAGAGCUGCUUUGUGUUUCACCCACAUAUACUGUCUAGGACAUGGGAAUUACGAGGAAAAGUGAAAAAAAUAAUUUUGCUGCCUGAAAAAGCAUCAUCAUGCAGCCACUGUGAAUCACCACUGAAGAAGCAAAAGAAGUAAAAGAAGUGAAAUAAAUGCAUCAUGCAUUGCUUCUAUGUGGGGAGACCUAAUGUGUGAAGACAAAUACUGAGGUCUCUGCUGGAAGGCAGUUUUGCUAUACCAGUAGAGAUGACUGCAUAACCAACUAUAAAGAAGAGAUUUCAUUUAACAUUAUCUUCCUUUGGCAAGAAAUGACAUAGGAUUUAACCCCAAACUCUUUUCUGGACUUAGCACAGGGUCUAUAGGCUACAGACAUGGAAGAAAGGUUGAUAUAUGAGUAUGUGUCCCUUCUGGGUCUGGAAGGUAGGCAAGC
rnacentral:lncRNA from 1 species